UACAGAGGUCUCAAGCGUUGUUCGGAUUCAUUGGGCGUAAAGGGUGCGUAGGUGGCGGGGUAAGUCAGGUGUGAAAUUUCGGAGCUUAACUCCGAAACUGCAUUUGAUACUGCCUUGCUUGAGGACUGGAGAGGAGACUGGAAUUCACGGUGUAGCAGUGAAAUGCGUAGAUAUCGUGAGGAAGACCAGUGGCGAAGGCGGGUCUCUAGACAGUUCCUGACGCUGAAGUACGAAGGCCAGGGGAGCAAACGGG
rnacentral:rRNA from 1 species